AGAGAUGUAGCUCAGCAGGAGAGCACUUGCUUUGCGUGUAAGAGGACCUGGGUUCAACUUCCAGCGUCUCUG
rnacentral:tRNA from 1 species